AUAGCUUUAGUGUCUCUGGGUGCGUCCGCCGGAAACUGUUGCAGCUUUUCGGAUUUUGAACGCUGAAAUUAUCAUGUUAGAUUCAGCGCUCCCUUUUAUGCCCAUUACAGAUAGUAGGCAGUGGAUGUAGGGCUACUCUCUGGUAUCCCUCGGAGGAGGACAUUCCGCUGUCUGUGCCGUGUCUCCAUUGUCGUGACAGUCCGCGUGAGUUUUUGUACCUGCAAGUUAAGG